GUCGUUUUGCUCUCCGAAAUUUCAGCGAGAGUUGAGUUGUCAUCAACAUCUGACCUCUCAUGUUCUGCAAACCGGCGAGCUUCUUCUAGGCUUAAUGGACAACACGUCUCCACUGUUAAGGAACACGCUGCUGUUAAUCGAGAGGCAGUCGAGAGUCAUGGAAUAUCGCACCCGACGCUUGAUGUCCUUCGCUGAGCGCUGAGCCAAAAGACUGGGCGGGCAAAGCAGACAGCGCGCUCUCUCUGUAUGAGCUGACAUUCAAGGCGCUAGCCGGGCGGGACACUUGAUCAGGCAGGCAGAAAGUGGCCCGAGCUGUGCGCUCGUGUCAAAUGAGGGAAGUCGUAUACAGCCGUUCGUUCCAAAACCUUUGUCUUGUUAUUCCAUAUUUACAAAGCCACUCCCUCCCAUUUGCCAAUAGACCCUAACCCAAAAACAAUAGAAACCUUCACAAAUCCCAUAUACCUACAUACGAGUCUUCACAGCCUUUGGUUCAGAUAAAAAGAGUUCAUACUUUGUUGACAGCCAUCUUUGCGAAUAAGAUAGCACGAGCUCGGCAAGCCUAUUUUUGGGCUGUUUCUCUCUCGGUGACAUUCACAGUUGUGCCGAAGCCACUUGCCGCAGGUGCCUUUUACGAAACAGUGUCUUCCGUACGGCCACUCGUCUCUUGUUGCAUUGCGGUCCAGUACACAAUCUGAACGCUUUUUAAGACCUCCCCAAUACCUUUCCGCUAUAUAAACCUUUCUUAUUCCCUGAAUAACCAUUCUCACAUUGUUCUGUGCAUGUAUUGUACCUUUACACUAAAUAAAAGAACAAACACUUGAUCUUG